GACGAACCGUGCAAACGUUAUUCGGAAUCACUGGGCUUAAAGCGUGCGUAGGCGGCUCAGAAAGUUGGGUGUGAAAUCCCUCGGCUCAACCGAGGAAUUGCGCCCAAAACUACUGAGCUUGAGGGAGUUAGAGGUGAGCGGAACUCACGGUGGAGCGGUGAAAUGCGUUGAUAUCGUGAGGAACACCGGAGGCGAAAGCGGCUCACUGGGGCUUCACUGACGCUGAGGCACGAAAGCUAGGGGAGCAAACGGGAUUAGAAACCCCCGUAGUCC
rnacentral:rRNA from 1 species